UUCCCGCGCGUCCCACAGAAGGCGUGCUUCACUUCCAGGAAUGUAACAUUCCCGGAACCUUCCCGCUUUGACAAACCGCAGGAGAGAGCAGCUCGAUUUAAGUAGCUCCUGGGAGCCGAUCCAUCUGUGUCUGCUGUACAUAGCGCUAGUCAUUGUGCCGAGCACAGUAUACUAGCUGCAGUGUUGGCUGAGAUACAAACAACAGGCGGAGAUAAUGCAUCGCCCCGCGCGCCCGUCUUCACAACCAACCAUCUCGCCGUACGUGACUGAAAUGACAGCAACCAGCCGGUGGCCUCAGCGGUGGUAAUCUGGAGAUAUCGACGGGAGGAGGGCUCGGCGUUUACCGAGGCUUAUUGCUUCAUCUCCGCCGGGGGAAUUCCCGUGUCUUGAGGGUGUCGCGAAUCGGUCUGUGUUGGGAGCAAUUUGGGAAGAGUUCGGCGGCUUCGACUUGCGGAUGCACUACACAAAGGUGAGAAGUGCCGACUUGCAGACGGGUCCGAAGUGAUUUCGUCUGUAGACGUCUUUAGAAGUCUUGACAACAUCCCUCACGACACGCGGCGCGCACAGCUAUAAUUGAAUGAAGAUCAGGUCAAGUUUAUAAACACCCAGGCAACAAGUCGAUGAAAUCUGAGGGUCUGAUGGGGGAGGAUUGAUCUCCUGACACACACAACAGAUGCAGCAGCAGCAGGGCAGAAGAGAUAACUAUUGAGGAUACGAACA